AUACUUACUUGGACGAGAUUAAUGGGUGAUCAAGAAGGGCCAUUGUUUAGGACAGUGACAUCCAUUGCACUUAGGAAGUGUGUUGCUCUAAGGGCUGCCCAAGUGGUGGAGCCUACGUCAAAAUUUGUGGCAGAGGAGGCCUAAGUUUUUGCGAUCCCUA